UACGUAGGGUGCAAGCGUUAAUCGGAAUUACUGGGCGUAAAGCGUGCGCAGGCGGUUUUGUAAGACAGGUGUGAAAUCCCCGGGCUUAACCUGGGAACUGCAUUUGUGACUGCAUAGCUAGAGUACGGUAGAGGGGGAUGGAAUUCCUGGUGUAGCGGUGAAAUGCGCAGAUAUCAGGAAGAACACCCGUGGCGAAGGCGGCUCUCUGGGACGGUACUGACGCUGAGACGCGAAAGCGUGGGGAGCGAACAGG
rnacentral:rRNA from 1 species